UAUAUUGGACUAAGAAAGAUAAUAGAAAGGAUAAGAUCAAUGCUGGGGGAAAAGGCAAACUUUACCCUGAUAAAGGGGAGAGAAGGUGAAUUCUACCAACCAUGGGAAGAUGGGGACACUGAGGAGAUUAGGUGAUACGUCCAAGGUCCCACAAGUGGUGGAGAAUGUUUGUAAUUAUACUUAUUUAAAUCCCAUGUGGAGCGGCUGGGUGGAGCAGCAGCAAAUAGAGCACCAGGCCUGGAGGCAUGAAGACUAGUUUUCUUGAGUUCAAAUCUGAUCUCAGAAA